rnacentral:pre_miRNA from 15 species
UUUUCGACCCAGACUCAGCUGCCCUGGUCCAGUGGUUCUUAACAGUUCAACAGUUCUGUGUAGAGAUUGUGAAAUGUUUAGGACCACUUGAUCUGGGUAGGCAUCUUCUGCCGGCAGACC